rnacentral:snRNA from 1 species
GGAUGUGAGGGCGAUGUGGCUGCGACAUCUGUCACCCCACUGAUCUUCAGGUUUGAUUUGGCUGAUAUGGCUGGCUAGGCGGGUGUCCCCUUCCUCUCUCAACAAUCCAUGUGCAUCCUUCCUGAAGCUGCACUGCUCGGUUGAAGAGGACAACCACCCCCGAUAGAGGAGGACCAUUCCUUGGUCAAGGGUAUACGAGUAGCUGCGCUCUGCUGCUAGGACUUCCAAACAAGCUCUCAAGAUAUAGCUGAACAUUUUGAUGGAUUGUUGUCAGCAAGGACAGUUUAGCAUCAGUUAUGCUGAAACAAUGACCAUCUAUUUAGCAGUCAUUGU